UUCUUCUAGCUGGAGCUGUUAAUUGAUUGAACUGUUUGCCUGCGCUGCUGAAAUACUGCGUGCGCGGUGAUGGUUUUUUUGGUUGCAGUUCUACUCAAGGCUUAGAAAUCUCCUUACACACUUUGUUUUCUUAUUAGAGACAAAUUUGCUUUGGCUAGCGGUCGUUUAAACGCGGCAUGCCUGGCCAGAGGUUUUAACAAAACUCAUUUUCGUCUUGCCCUCGUGGGAAGAUUGAAAACUUGUAUUAUUAUUUCGUCAGUUAUAAGAAGUUGCGUUUGCAGCUUUUCUAAACUUUAAAACUUUCAACAACGGAUCUCUUGGUUCUCGCAUCGAUGAAGAACGCAGCGAAAUGCGAUACGUAAUGUGAAUUGCAGAUUUUCGUGAAUCAUUGAAUCUUUGAACGCACAUUGCGCCCUCUGGUAUUCCAGAGGGCAUGCCUGUUUGAGCGUCAUUUCCCUCUCAAACCCCCGGGUUUGGUGAUGGGCAAUACUCUCGUCUGAGAGUUUGCUUGAAAUGAAUUGGCAUGAGUUUUUGAUACGAACUUCAGCUGUUUAUUCAAUGUAUUAGGUUUUAUCCAUCGUUGAUUGACAACUGCAAGCUUCUUUCAAAAUUUGGCUCUGCCUUACAAACUUUAAUCAUAAAGUUUGACCUCAAAUCAGGUAGGAUUACCCGCUGAC
rnacentral:rRNA from 1 species